AGAGUUUGAUCCUGGCUCAGGGAUGAACGCUGGCGGCGCGCCUAACACAUGCAAGUCGAACGAGAAGCACCUCUUCGGAGGUGUGGAUAGUGGCGAACGGCUGAGUAACACGUGGGCAACCUGCCCCUCUCAUCGGGAUAGCCUCGGGAAACCGGGGAUAAUACCGGAUACUCCGACGCUUUCGCAUGGAAGCGUUGGGAAAGCUCUGGCGGAGAGGGAUGGGCCCGCGGCCUGUUAGCUAGUUGGCGGGGUAACGGCCCACCAAGGCUUCUAUGGGUAGCCGGGUUGAGAGACCGACCGGCCAGAUUGGGACUGAGACACGGCCCAGACUCCUACGGGAGGCAGCAGUGGGGAAUCUUGCGCAAUGGGCGAAAGCCUGACGCAGCGACGCCGCGUGCGGGAUGACGGCCUUCGGGUUGUAAACCGCUUUCAGCAGGGACGAGGCCGCAAGGUGACGGUACCUGCAGAAGAAGCCCCGGCUAACUACGUGCCAGCAGCCGCGGUAAUACGUAGGGGGCGAGCGUUAUCCGGAUUCAUUGGGCGUAAAGCGCGCGUAGGCGGCCAGUUAGGUCGGGAGUCAAAUUUCGGGGCUCAACCCCGUCUCGCUCCCGAUACCGGCUGGCUUGAGUGUGGUAGGGGAAGGCGGAAUUCCCGGUGUAGCGGUGGAAUGCGCAGAUAUCGGGAAGAACACCGGUGGCGAAGGCGGCCUUCUGGGCCAUCACUGACGCUGAGGCGCGAAAGCUAGGGGAGCAAACAGGAUUAGAUACCCUAGUAGUCCACGCCGUAAACGAUAAGGUACUAAGUGUGGGAAAGUCAAAUUUCAGUGCUGCAGUUAACGCAGUAAGUACUCCGCCUGAGUAGUACGUUCGCAAGAAUGAAACUCAAAGGAAUUGACGGGGGCCCGCACAAGCGGUGGAGCACGUGGUUUAAUUCGAAGCAACGCGAAGAACCUUACCAGGUCUUGACAUACUCAUAAAGGAUCCAGAGAUGGAUAGAUAGUUAUAUGAGAUACAGGUGGUGCAUGGUUGUCGUCAGCUCGUGUCGUGAGAUGUUGGGUUAAGUCCCGCAACGAGCGCAACCCUUGUCGUUAGUUACCAUCAUUAAGUUGGGGACUCUAGCGAGACUGCCAGUGACAAGCUGGAGGAAGGCGGGGAUGACGUCAAAUCAUCAUGCCCCUUAUGACCUGGGCUACACACGUGCUACAAUGGAUGGUGCAGAGGGAAGCGAAGCCGCGAGGCGAAGCAAAACCCAUAAAACCAUUCUCAGUUCGGAUUGUAGUCUGCAACUCGACUACAUGAAGUUGGAAUCGCUAGUAAUCGCGAAUCAGCAUGUCGCGGUGAAUACGUUCUCGGGCCUUGUACACACCGCCCGUCAAG
rnacentral:rRNA from 1 species